rnacentral:rRNA from 1 species
GACGAACCGUGCGAACGUUAUUCGGAAUCACUGGGCUUAAAGCGCGUGUAGGCGGGCCGGCACGUCGGUCGCUGAAAGCCCCCGGCUCAACCGGGGAACGGGCGCCGAUACGACCGUCCUGGAGGGACGUAGGGGGACCUGGAACAUCCGGUGGAGCGGUGAAAUGCGUUGAGAUCGGAUGGAACGCCCGUGGCGAAAGCGAGGUCCUGGACCCUUUCUGACGCUGAGACGCGAAAGCCAGGGGAGCGAACGGG